CAUGUGGGUGAUGUAAACUAGUCCUUAGGUUGGCCCUGUUUGGCCGUUUUGGUCAAAGCUCCAGGCCUUCCGAUGUUAGGAUCUGUCAUAGUUACACUGACACGUU
ensembl:snoRNA SNORD46 small nucleolar RNA SNORD46